rnacentral:pre_miRNA from 1 species
CACCACUGUCGCAUCAUCCAACGCUGAGGCCGGGGCCUUCGGAUCUGGCCACCCUGGCCUCCCCGCUGAUGGAUUCGGUCGGCCGGA